CAUGCAAGUUGAGCGUACUCCGCAAGGAGAAGCAGCGUAAGGGGCAGUAAGGCAUGGGUACCUACCUCGGGUUCGGGUAUAGCCUGUAGAGAUACAGGGUAAUCCCCGAUGAUGUCGUAAGACCAAAGCUCCGGCGACCGGAGAGGGGCCCAUGUGAUAUUAGCUAGUUGGUGGGGUAACGGCCCACCAAGGCGAAGAUGUCUAGCGGGUGUGAGAGCACGACCCGCGCCACUGGCACUGAGACACUGGCCAGACACCUACGGGUGGCUGCAGUCGAGGAUCUUCGGCAAUGGGCGCAAGCCUGACCGAGCGACGCCGCGUGUGCGACGAAGGCCUUCGGGUUGUAAAGCACUGUCGAGGGGGAGAAAACCGCAAGGUUGAUCUAUCCCUGGAGGAAGCACGGGCUAAGUUCGUGCCAGCAGCCGCGGUAAGACGAACCGUGCGAACGUUGUUCGGAAUCACUGGGCUUAAAGGGCGCGUAGGCGGGCUGUCAAGUCCGGGGUGAAAUCCUCCCGCUCAACGGGAGAACGGCCUCGGAUACUGACGGCCUCGAGGGAGAUAGGGGCACGCGGAACUGUGGGUGGAGCGGUGAAAUGCGUUGAUAUCCAUAGGAACUCCGGUGGCGAAGGCGGCGUGCUGGAUCUCUUCUGACGCUGAGGCGCGAAAGCCAGGGGAGCAAACGGGAUUAGAUACCCCGGUAGUCCUGGCCCUAAACGUUGAGAACUAGGUUGUAGACUAGACAUGGGUUUACAGCCGAAGCAAAAGUGCUAAGUUCUCCGCCUGGGGAGUAUGGUCGCAAGGCUGAAACU
rnacentral:rRNA from 1 species